rnacentral:sRNA from 1 species
CCGGCCCAAAUGCCUAACCCUGCCGUUGGGCCGGAGCACCAUACCGUUCGCAGGCGGGGGCGGAGGACCCAAUUCUUUGGCAGCAGCCGCUGCCUCGGGGUGAAGCCUCCACAGCAAGCAGCAUGGCAACAGCCGUGCUGCCGGCCGGAGGCCGAGUGUUUCUCCACUCGAAUCCGACAGCUAACUUCGCAGGCUUGAGAGAGGGAACCA